AGAUUAGCUUGCUUUAUUUGUCAGCUAAGUGGCGCACGGGUGAGUAAUGUAUAGGUAAUAUGCCUCUUACUAAGGGAUAACAAAUGGAAACGUUUGCUAAUACCUUAUACUCCUUAUUAACAGAAGUUAAUAAGGGAAAGAUUUAUUGGUAAGAGAUUAGCCUGUAUUGUAUCAGUUAGUUGGUGGGGUAAUGGCUUACCAAGACUAUGACACAUAACUGGUUUGAGAGGAUGAUCAGUCACACUGGAACUGAGACACGGUCCAGACUCCUACGGGAGGCAGCAGUGGGGAAUAUUGCACAAUGGACGAAAGUCUGAUGCAGCAACGCCGCGUGGAGGAUGACACAUUUCGGUGCGUAGACUCCUUUUAUAUGAGAAGAUAAUGACGGUAUUAUAUGAAUAAGCACCGGCUAACUCCGUGCCAGCAGCCGCGGUAAUACGGGGGGUGCAAGCGUUACUCGGAAUCACUGGGCGUAAAGAGCAUGUAGGCGGAUUAAUAAGUUUGAAGUGAAAUCCUAUAGCUUAACUAUAGAACUGCUUUGAAAACUGUUAAUCUAGAAUGUGGGAGAGGUAGAUGGAAUUUCUGG
rnacentral:rRNA from 1 species